rnacentral:rRNA from 1 species
AGCGAACGCUGGCGGCAGGCUUAACACAUGCAAGUCGAGCGGGCAUCUUCGGAUGUCAGCGGCAGACGGGUGAGUAACACGUGGGAACGUACCCUUCGGUCCGGAACAACUCUGGGAAACUGGAGCUAAUACCGGAUACGCCCUUAUGGGGAAAGGUUUACUGCCGAAGGAUCGGCCCGCGUCUGAUUAGCUAGUUGGUGGGGUAACGGCCUACCAAGGCGACGAUCAGUAGCUAGUCUGAGAGGAUGAUCAGCCACACUGGGACUGAGACACGGCCCAGACUCCUACGGGAGGCAGCAGUGGGGAAUAUUGGACAAUGGGCGCAAGCCUGAUCCAGCCAUGCCGCGUGAGUGAUGAAGGCCUUAGGGUUGUAAAGCUCUUUUGUCCGGGACGAUAAUGACGGUACCGGAAGAAUAAGCCCCGGCUAACUUCGUG